CGGGGUGAGUAAUGUAUGGGGAUCUGCCUGAUGGGGGGGGAUAACUACUGGAAACGGUAGCUAAUACCGCAUAAUGUCUAUGGACCAAAGCGGGGGACCUCCGGGCCUCGCGCCAUCAGAUGAACCCAUAUGGGAUUAGCUAGUAGGUAAGGUAACGGCUUACCUAGGCGACGAUCCCUAGCUGGUCUGAGAGGAUGAUCAGCCACACUGGGACUGAGACACGGCCCAG
rnacentral:rRNA from 1 species